GAUAAAUGGCAAACUUUUAUUUUAUUUCAUUUAUUUUUUUCUUAAUAAUUUUCAGUUUUAAUUUCUUCGCUGGUGCAUGUUGUUUUUCCCCUCAAUUGUGAAUGCCUUUUCCGUUUUCGAAACAGUUUUUUUUUAAGUUAUACUGAAUAAAUACUAAAAAUAAAUACCAACAACACCAACAUACCGAACUGAUACAAUAACCCAAGCCAAGUUAGGAACUCGGAACUAUAUACCCACAAGAGCCUUAAAGAUAUGCCUAAAGAAAACUUAAAAAAAAAUAAUAAUAAUACCAAAAGUUAUUAAGAUUCUCUUAAAAAUAAUACCAAAAAUGAAAAAAGAUGAUAUUGAGAGAUAGCACAAGUGGGAAGAGGGAGGAGCUGUCCCUUUACCUCAGAUAGAGCAAUAAGUACUCAUGUGUUCAUCCACCCAAUCGAAUCGAAGGACCCAAGGCGAUAACCCCCCAUAGAAAGGACGAGAAGUCGGAUCUGGAGCGGAAGAAGGAUGUCGUGUGUGUGUGAUCUAGUACUUUAUUUAGUUAGUCUAUGUACGAUGAUUCAAAUACGGAAAAAGGAUUCAAGGAUAUGUGGAAGCCUGGCUUCUGCUACUUCUUCAAAAAAAAUCUGGGCGGUGACUUAGUAACCCCCAGUAAAAAAUCCAUUUUCUUUUGUUGAAUUUUUCUAUAUAGGAUAAAACCUGAAGGAUAAGAUAUUUUCCAAACUGGAUAUGGAUAUGGAUAUGGAUAGGAAGGAAGAAAUAAAUGGGGAUAUAUGCCAAAAAAAAAGAAAAAAACACCAGAAUUCACCCAUAGGCCUACAAAACUAUAAAACCAACCAAGAAGAACAACACCAGCAACCAGAACACCAACUACAAAACAACGAUAUUAAAAAUUCUUAAUUAUUUAAGAAUAGAAAACCGAAAUCAAAAGUAACCAAAAUGGGAAUAAAAAUAACCAGAAAAUAACAUCCCUCCCUUCGAAAAAAACCCAAAAAACAAGAGCAAAGAAACGCUUUAAAAACUUAAUUAAAAAAAAGUAAUAUAUAGACACACACCAAUUAAAUUGUAUCUAGGCGAUUUAUAUAUGAAAUGGAACCUAUACUUAUUAUCGAAACACCAAUUAUCCAUAGAACGUCAUAUGGAACGGGAAUCUAGGCGAUCUAAUACUUAUGCAUAAUAUAAUUCAAUAGAAGAAACACCAAGAGUGAAUCACUCUAGUGACUUGAUUACUUUAAAUAACGAUUGUAACGAUUGUAUCGAUAUUUUCAGGGGGUAGGGCGGCUAAUAUAGAUCAUCGUUGCAUGUGAGACCUCAAAAUGCCCCUCCAAGACCUCAAAAAUAAUUCCCAGUCCUUCGCUCACCCCUUUCCUCAAAUCUUUACAUCUAUAAGCAUUACAAAAUCUAGAAAAACCCCAAAAAGUUGUUCGAUAUUUUGUUUUUUGAAAUGAAACCUCGGUGUGGUUUCGAACCGAACAUUAUUAUUUUUUGUUUGUUUGUUCAAAUGUUGCCAAUUGCAAAAAUACUCCAAGUGUUAUAGUACCAUAUAUAUGUACCAUAUAUAUAUGGAAAAUGGAAUAUAUUUAAUGAGAACGGAAUUAGGAUGCGAAAUAUCUAGGAUUCUAAAGAAUAUAUAAUGUCUCUCUUUCUCUAUAUACAUAUAUAAACGCGAGUAUAUAGAUGAAAAAACUUAUGAAAGAAAUUUACUUUGCAAGUAGUAGUUCUCAUCUUGAAUUAAAUGAAAAUAUUAAUCGUCCUACGGGAAUUAGAAUAUAUAUAAAUAUAUAUAUAUAUAUAUAUAUAUAGUAUAUGUAUAGUAUGCAUCAUACCUAACGAAUAUUGUUGAACGAUGACCAUUUAAUUGGAAAAAAAAGAAAAUAGAGGGAGAUCGAUCCGAAAAAUAUAUAUAUACAUAUAUAUGUUAUUAACAAAAAAAGGUAAACCAGCCCACGAUGAAACGCUAAACGUUUUUGUAGCUUUAGAAUUUAAGACGAACAACCAAAACAAAAACGAAAAAAAUCGACAAAAUCGAAAAACAAAAAUCGUAAAUCGUAAAUCGAAAAUCGAAAAUCAAUAGAACGAGCAUUAAAUGUCAACACCAAAUAAUUUCUAAUUGAAAAAAAACCAACAAACUUGUUGUAAAUGUUGAAGCAAAUCUAUGUGUAUGUGAGUUAGGAAACAAUUAGCAAAAAAAAAAACACUUAAAAAAUCGAAAAAGAUAACGAAAAUGCGAUAACGAUAACGAUAACGAACCAGAAACCGAAAACAAAAUACCAAAGUGAAGCCAUUUAAAAAACAAAAAAAUAAAAGAGAAAUGCAAAGAAAGCUGUUUGAAAACUAAUAUCGAUAAUAUCGAUAGUCGCGAAAUAUUGACGAUAUAUUCAACAUUUUUGGGUGUCUGCUAUUUGAAAGAAAACAAAUUAUAUUAUUGAAUAAACCGUAUUACAAAUAA